GGCUCAGGAUGAACGCUGGCGGCGUGCUUAACACAUGCAAGUCGAACGGAGUAUAUUUAAAAGCUUGCUUUGUUAUACUUAGUGGCGGACGGGUGAGUAACGCGUGGGUAACCUGCCUUAUACCGGGGGACAACAGUUGGAAACGACUGCUAAUACCGCAUAAGCGCACAGUCUCGCAUGAGACAGUGUGAAAAACUCCGGUGGUAUAAGAUGGACCCGCGUCUGAUUAGCCAGUUGGCGGUGUAACGGACCACCAAAGCGACGAUCAGUAGCCGGCCUGAGAGGGUGAACGGCCACAUUGGGACUGAGACACGGCCCAAACUCCUACGGGAGGCAGCAGUGGGGAAUAUUGCACAAUGGAGGAAACUCUGAUGCAGCGACGCCGCGUGAGUGAAGAAGUAUUUCGGUAUGUAAAGCUCUAUCAGCAGGAAAGAAAAUGACGGUACCUGACUAAGAAGCCCCGGCUAACUACGUGCCAGCCGCCGC
rnacentral:rRNA from 1 species